AGUCUCAACUUGAAGUAGCUCGCGCUGUUUAUGGAACAGGAUGUUCAUUAAGAAUGGUUGAACACCCACUGGAAAAUUUUUUUUGAAACAUUGCAGCCAGCUUUUAAACUUCCUAACCGUGACGAUGUCAAACUCUCUUCUUGAGAGUAUAUGAGGAAACUGUUACAACAGCUAAAGAACAAGUAGCAACAGCUUCUAGUGUGGCAAUACUAUGUGAUGGUUGGACUAAUAUAAGAAAUGAGGGAAUCAUUAACUUUGUUAUUACAGUGCCCAGGCCCAUAUUUUGGAGCAGCACUGCAACAGGUGCAGAAAGUCAUACAGGAGAAUAUAUGGCAAGUCUGUUAAAAAAAAUGGUUGAAGAAAUUGGUGCAAUGAAGGUGCUUGCCAUUUGCACAGAUAAUGCUUCAAACACGAAGAAAGCCUAGGCACUUAUAAAGGAAGACUUCCCACACAUACAGGCAUAUGGGUGUCUUGCCCAUACACUCAACUUAAUAUUCACAGAUACGGCCAAUAUUAAGUCAAUUGAUAGCAAUCAGCGAGACUGUACACGUGUUGUGAAGGCUAUUAAAAAUUCCCAAAAGCUGACUGCUAUUCUAAAAAAAUGCCAGAAGUCAUUACCUGGCCAGUCAAGAAUCACUGAAACUUCCAGUUAAAACAAGGUAUGGUUUUUACAUGCUUAUUCAUGGGUGGUCCGGAAGCUGGUGUAGAUGAAUCACUAUAUUGAUAAAUCCAACAAAUAAUGUACCAAUAAAAUUUUAUGAGAUUUAUAUUUUCUGAUUUAUUGUCACUAUCAUAAAUUCAUAAAUGUCCCUAACUAGGCUAUACAGUAUAGGUAUACACAUAACUUUACA
rnacentral:lncRNA from 1 species